rnacentral:rRNA from 1 species
GACGUAGGGUCCGAGCGUUGUCCGGAGUUACUGGGCGUAAAGGGCGCGUAGGCGGCUUUGUGCGUCACCCGUGAAAGCCCCCGGCUCAACCGGGGAGGGUCGGGUGAAACGGCGGAGCUGGAGGCAGCGAGAGGCUGGUGGAAUUCCCGGAGUAGUGGUGAAAUGCGUAGAUAUCUGGAGGAACACCGGUGGCGAAGGCGGCAUCCUGGACCAAUUCUGACGCUGAGGAGCGAAAGCCAGGGGAGCAAACGGG